UUCCAUUCGUGGGGUACAAGGAAAGAAGGGUAUAAACCAGCUAAGUAUGGAUGCAGAAGAAGUGGCGUCUUUUCUGCCAAAAGUAAAAAGUAGUCUAAAACAUGCAAAGUAGGACACCGAAAUGGGAGGUACUUAUUGAAACACGAUUGAGAUAGACUCAUUUACUUGUUCAACUCCAACUCCGACCACAAUUGGAACAAGCAGCAGCUCAAAAAUCUUUGGGAUGCUCUUCGGCUUAAACAUAAAAGACCGGAGGAAUUGCUUCAUUGCACUGGUGUUGAAUACAACCCGACAACGGGUAGAAUUGUUGUUUCAGAGGAGUGGUGGGUUCGAAAGAUGAAGAACCCUGCUUCAUGAACAACUUUUCUAUUUUACUUCUUCAGGGAGAUUGUUUUCCAACUGCCAACGUCGAUUCGAGCUGUGAUAAUUGCCGUUCGAACCUGUGUAUUUCACAUUGAUUUUCAUGGCAGUGUAGUUCGUUUUUACUGUGAUUUUAUAGUACAUGAAUAGUAAUUUGUAUGUAUGUAAUGUAAUUCUAGUCUAAUGCACAUUUCUAAUCUCCUAGCC